UACGUAGGGUGCGAGCGUUGUCCGGAAUUAUUGGGCGUAAAGAGCUUGUAGGCGGUCUGUCGCGUCUGCUGUGAGAACCCGUGGCUCAACCAUGUGGUCUGCAGUCGAUACGGGCAGGCUAGAAUUCGGUAGGGGAGACUGGAAUUCCUGGUGUAGCGGUGAAAUGCGCAGAUAUCAGGAGGAACACCGGUGGCGAAGGCGGGUCUCUGGGCCGAUAUUGACGCUGAGGAGCGAAAGCGUGGGGAGCGAACAGG
rnacentral:rRNA from 1 species